AUUGAACGCUGGCGGCAUGCCUUACACAUGCAAGUCGAACGGCAGCGCGGGGCAACCUGGCGGCGAGUGGCGAACGGGUGAGUAAUAUAUCGGAACGUACCCUGGAGUGGGGGAUAACGUAGCGAAAGUUACGCUAAUACCGCAUACGAUCUAAGGAUGAAAGUGGGGGAUCGCAAGACCUCAUGCUCCUGGAGCGGCCGAUAUCUGAUUAGCUAGUUGGUAGGGUAAAAGCCUACCAAGGCAUCGAUCAGUAGCUGGUCUGAGAGGACGACCAGCCACACUGGAACUGAGACACGGUCCAGACUCCUACGGGAGGCAGCAGUGGGGAAUUUUGGACAAUGGGCGCAAGCCUGAUCCAGCAAUGCCGCGUGAGUGAAGAAGGCCUUCGGGUUGUAAAGCUCUUUUGUCAGGGAAGAAACGGGUUUUUCUAAUACAGAGAUCUAAUGACGGUACCUGAAGAAUAAGCACCGGCUAACUACGUGCCAGCAGCCGCGGUAAUACGUAGGGUGCAAGCGUUAAUCGGAAUUACUGGGCGUAAAGCGUGCGCAGGCGGUUUUGUAAGACUGUCGUGAAAUCCCCGGGCUCAACCUGGGAAUGGCGAUGGUGACUGCAAGGCUAGAGUUUGGCAGAGGGGGGUAGAAUUCCACGU
rnacentral:rRNA from 1 species